UCUGGUCAGAACGAACGCUGGCGGCGCGUUUAAGCAUGCAAGUCGAGCGGCAAGGGCCUUCGGGCCCCUAGAGCGGCGGACGGGUGAGUAACACGUGGACAAUCUGCCCCCCGGCCCGGGAUAGCCCAGGGAAACCUGGAUUAAUACCGGAUGAGACGGGACCCGCGAUGGCGGGACCCGGGAAGGGCGCUGCGGCGCCGCCGGGGGAUGAGUCUGCGUCCCAUUAGCUAGACGGCGGGGUAACGGCCCACCGUGGCGACGAUGGGUAGCCGGCCUGAGAGGGUGGACGGCCACAUUGGAACUGAGACACGGUCCAGACUCCUACGGGAGGCAGCAGCUAAGAAUCUUCCGCAAUGGGCGAAAGCCUGACGGAGUGAACCGCCGCGUGAACGAAGAAGGCCGUGAGGUUGUAAAGUUCUUUUCGGGAGGGGGAACAACCGUGGCAGGGAAUGGCCGCGGGAUGACGUGAAUCCCGGAAUAACGCCCCGGCUAACUACGUGCCAGCAGCUGC
rnacentral:rRNA from 1 species